rnacentral:lncRNA from 1 species
GCUACAUGCACAAGAUGCUACCUGCAGAGAUUGGUUUUUGCCCAGAUGUGCAGGAGAGAUGCACAGAGAGGAAGAAAUGCAUACAUGUGUGCAGAUUUUGGCAUGUGCACAAGAAGCCUGGAAGGAUUUUCUUUGGAUCUACAGUCAAAAUGGAUUUCCGAGAGGAAGCUGUCUGAACACACACCUCUUCCCUGUGCUACAUACGGUCCCAUCUCUGCCAGCCAGGUUGUCAGGAAAGUGAUCAGCACUGGCUUCAACUCUGGCUAGAGCUCUUUGGCCAAUGUGACGGGCAGAAAACUGGAAUGAGGACAGAAAAGCACCUCAGAGGUUUGAAGAGUCGCGUCUCUCACCACCUUGCUGCUGAGACUUAUUUGAAUGCCUGUUUCAUAUGGAGCUUUUAAGUGUAACAGUUGUGAGUGAAAUUGCCCCUUUUAUUUUCAAGCACUCUGAGUUUGCUUCUGGAUGGAAGGGGAAGAUGGACUAGAGCUGAUGCCUCCUG